GAUGAACGCUGGCGGCGUGCCUAAUACAUGCAAGUCGAGCGACGCGUGGACAGGUGUGUAACACGUGUGUAACCUCCUUUAUGACUGGGAUUACUUCGGGGAACCGGAACUAAACCGGCUUCUUUUCGCUGGAUCUGGGUGGCAUUAGCUAGUUGGUAAGGUAACGGCUUACCAAGGCAACGAUGCAUAGCCGACCUGAGAGGGUGACCGGCCACACUGGAACUGAGACACGGUCCAGACUCCUACGGGAGGCAGCAGUAGGGAAUCUUCCGCAAUGGGCGAAAGCCUGACGGAGCAACGCCGCGUGAGUGAUGAAGGUCUUCGGAUCGUAAAACUCUGUUAGUAGGGAAGCGGUACCUAAUCAGAAAGCCACGGCUAACUACGUGCCAGCAGCCGCGGUAAUUC
rnacentral:rRNA from 1 species